rnacentral:rRNA from 1 species
GACGAACGCUGGCGGCGUGCUUAACACAUGCAAGUCGAACGGAAAGGCCCUGCUUUUGUGGGGUGCUCGAGUGGCGAACGGGUGAGUAGCACGUGAGUAACCUGCCCUUGACUUUGGGAUAACUUCAGGAAACUGGGGCUAAUACCGGAUAGGAGCUCCUGCUGCAUGGUGGGGGUUGGAAAGUUUCGGCGGUUGGGGAUGGACUCGCGGCUUAUCAGCUUGUUGGUGGGGUAGUGGCUUACCAAGGCUUUGACGGGUAGCCGGCCUGAGAGGGUGACCGGCCACAUUGGGACUGAGAUACGGCCCAGACUCCUACGGGAGGCAGCAGUGGGGAAUAUUGCACAAUGGGCGGAAGCCUGAUGCAGCAACGCCGCGUGCGGGAUGACGGCCUUCGGGUUGUAAACCGCUUUCGCCUGUGACGAAGCGUGAGUGACGGUAAUGGGUAAAGAAGCACCGGCUAACUACGUGCCAGCAGCCGCGGUGAUACGUAGGGUGCGAGCGUUGUCCGGAUUUAUUGGGCGUAAAGGGCUCGUAGGUGGUUGAUCGCGUCGGAAGUGUAAUCUUGGGGCUUAACCCUGAGCGUGCUUUCGAUACGGGUUGACUUGAGGAAGGUAGGGGAGAAUGGAAUUCCUGGUGGAGCGGUGGAAUGCGCAGAUAUCAGGAGGAACACCAGUGGCGAAGGCGGUUCUCUGGGCCUUUCCUGACGCUGAGGAGCGAAAGCGUGGGGAGCGAACAGGCUUAGAUACCCUGGUAGUCCACGCUGUAAACGGUGGGUACUAGGUGUGGGGUCCAUUCCACGGGUUCCGUGCCGUAGCUAACGCUUUAAGUACCCCGCCUGGGGAGUACGGCCGCAAGGCUAAAACUCAAAGGAAUUGACGGGGCCCCGCACAAGCGGCGGAGCAUGCGGAUUAAUUCGAUGCAACGCGUAGAACCUUACCUGGGUUUGACAUGGAUCGGGAGUGCUCAGAGAUGGGUGUGCCUCUUUUGGGGUCGGUUCACAGGUGGUGCAUGCCUGUCGUCAGCUCGUGUCGUGAGAUGUUGGGUUAAGUCCCGCAACGAGCGCAACCCUUGUUCACUGUUGCCAGCACGUUAUGGUGGGGACUCAGUGGAGACCGCCGGGGUCAACUCGGAGGAAGGUGGGGAUGACGUCAAGUCAUCAUGCCCCUUAUGUCCAGGGCUUCACGCAUGCUACAAUGGCUGGUACAGAGAGUGGCGAGCCUGUGAGGGUGAGCGAAUCUCGGAAAGCCGGUCUCAGUUCGGAUUGGGGUCUGCAACUCGACCUCAUGAAGUCGGAGUCGCUAGUAAUCGCAGAUCAGCAACGCUGCGGUGAAUACGUUCCCGGGGCU